rnacentral:rRNA from 1 species
UACGAAGGGGGCGAGCGUUGUCCGGAAUCAUUGGGCGUAAAGCGCGUGUAGGCGGCCAGAAAAGUCCGCUGUGAAAACUCGAGGCUCAACUUCGAGCUGUCGGUGGAAGCUUUCUGGCUAGAGUCCGGAAGAGGAGAAUGGAAUUCCUGGUGUAGCGGUGAAAUGCGCAGAUAUCAGGAAGAACACCCGUGGCGAAGGCGGUUCUCUGGGACGGUACUGACGCUGAGACGCGAAAGCGUGGGGAGCGAACAGG